UACGGGGGGGGCAAGCGUUGUUCGGAAUUACUGGGCGUAAAGGGCUCGUAGGCGGCCAACUAAGUCGGACGUGAAAUCCCCAGGCUCAACCUGGGAACUGCGUCCGAUACUGGAUGGCUUGAAUCCGGGAGAGGGAUGCAGAAUUCCAGGUGUAGCGGUGAAAUGCGUAGAUAUCCGGAGGAACACCGGUGGCGAAGGCGGCUUCCUGGACCGACACUGACGCUGAGGCGCGAAAGCCAGGGGAGCGAACGGG
rnacentral:rRNA from 1 species